AUUGAACGCUGGCGGCAGGCCUAACACAUGCAAGUCGAGCGGAGCGGCGGACGGGUGAGUAAUACCUAGGAAUCUGCCUGGUAGUGGGGGAUAACGUCCGGAAACGGACGCUAAUACCGCAUACUAUCAGAUGAGCCUAGGUCGGAUUAGCUAGUUGGUGGGGUAAUGGCCUACCAAGGCGACGAUCCGUAACUGGUCUGAGAGGAUGAUCAGUCACACUGGAACUGAGACACGGUCCAGACUCCUACGGGAGGCAGCAGUGGGGAAUAUUGGACAAUGGGCGAAAGCCUGAUCCAGCCAUGCCGCGUGUGUGAAGAAGGUCUUCGGAUUGUAAAGCACUUUAAGUUGGGAGGCGUUACCGACAGAAUAAGCACCGGCUAACUCUGUGCCAGCCGCCGCGGUAAUUC
rnacentral:rRNA from 1 species